CUACGUGCCAGCAGCCGCGGUAAUACGUAGGGCGCGAGCGUUGUCCGGAAUUAUUGGGCGUAAAGAGCUUGUAGGCGGUUUGUCGCGUCUGCUGUGAAAGGCCGGAGCUUAACUCCGCGUAUUGCAGUGGGUACGGGCAGACUAGAGUGCAGUAGGGGAGACUGGAAUUCCUGGUGUAGCGGUGGAAUGCGCAGAUAUCAGGAGGAACACCGAUGGCGAAGGCAGGUCUCUGGGCUGUAACUGACGCUGAGAAGCGAAAGCAUGGGGAGCGAACAGGAUUAGAUACCCUGGUAGUCCAUGCCGUAAACGUUGGGCACUAGGUGUGGGGAACAUUCCACGUUUUCCGCGCCGUAGCUAACGCAUUAAGUGCCCCGCCUGGGGAGUACGGCCGCAAGGUUAAAACUCAAAUGAAUUGACGGGGGCCCGCACAAGCGGUGGAGCAUGUGGUUUAAUUCGAUGCAACGCGAAGAACCUUACCUACUCUUGACAUCCAUGGAAUCCUGUAGAGAUACGGGAGUGC
rnacentral:rRNA from 1 species